ACAAACAAAAAUAAAAAGUUUUUUUUUGGUGUGAAUGUGAGUGCAUGUGUAAAUGGAGUGAACUAGUCCGAAGCAGCGGGCAGCUGGAAACCUUGUGGUGUUAACACAAGGCUGCUUGUUGACGUAGAACACGAUUUCAUCUCAUUAGGCUUUAGGUGAAAAGUACCCAGAGUCUAAAACGGGUUUUGCUCCUGGGAGGACCCUAAACGUGUGACCGGAUCAGACAAUAGGUCUGACCUAGAAGCUUGUUGCACGGGGAGUGAAAUUCGGUCCUGAGAGACAUUCUUUGUUGGUUCUGAUCACACUCUGUGACUAACGUAAUAAAUAAAAAUGAAAUAAAAAAAUGGGGGAAUUCAAAUAAAAAAGUUGAAUUAACAUGAGAUUAAAAACAUAUGGAAAGAGUUCAUCCAGAUUCAACUACAUUCUUGGGAAAAUGGGAUAAAAACUACGAUUUUAAGGGGAAUGUACUGAAUUAGUUCAACGGUUACCAAUUCAAACCAGAAUAAAAACUAAAAAAGAAACAAAAAAAUAGUGAAGAAUUAAUUUUUGCAAAACUGUGCUUAAAUGAAGCAAUGAAAAAUAAAGAAUGGCAUUCAGAAAAGUAAAACUAGAGAAGCAUGUCUGAUUGCUAAAAAAGUGGACGAUGAAUCAGUUGUGAGACUCAGACCCCUGCAACAGCAGGCUGCAGACCGAGCAGGAGCAGGAUGAAAGGGGGGGAGAGCAGAAACCAGCUGAUUUCUCACCUCCUCCCUACCAGGGGACAAAUGCUCCUCUGUUGACGGGUUUUUACCCACCAGUGACUGAUUUAAAUAAACCAGAAAAAGAAAAAAUGACGUUAAGAGGAAAAGGAAAAAAACUUGAAUGGAGUCAUACUUUGGGGGUUGGUUUGGAAGAAGCUGGAGAGCCAUCUAAAGUUGCAGAGACAUUUCCAAUGAUUGAAGUGUCCAAUCCCAGAGCUGGAGAAGAUGGCCAGAGGCCUACACUUCUUUUGUUUAGCACCUGGACAUUAGAGGAUGUUGGGAAGGCGGUGAGGGGAGUUAUCUCUCACAGGUAAAAUCCACAGGAUUUUCACGGGCAAAUGAUGGAAGUUCAGAGAGCUUAUCAUCUGAAUGGCAUUAAAUGUCAGCAAGUAUGUAUGACUGCUAUGAAAGCAGACUGGGCAAAAGUAAAGGAAUCCUAUGAAUGAUGACGAUCCACCCAGACCUCUUCCGCAUAACAGUUAAGAGUUCAUUCAAAGUCUUACACUUUUAGGACAAAGAAUUAGAGAAGCCUUUCCAAUGAGACCUGCUUAGAGAAAGAUUGGUCAACCUAAGCAAAAAGAUGGAGAGUUAGUGUCUGAUUUUAUAGUCAAAUUUGAAGAAGUUUUAAAGCUAAUAGUGGACUCAGAGAUGAUGAUAAUGAUGAAAGUCCCUAUAGACAGCAGCUGAAACAAGCUUUACUGUAAGUUAUGAAACCAGAGAUUGCAGACUAGAUAAGGAAGCAUUACAUAGAUCUGCCUACAGGAGCGCUACAACAGUUUAUGAAUUUUGCUGUGCAUGCACAAAAAGUGAUGGUGAAUAGAAAGAAAUUUAGGAAUCAAGGUGUAGUUACAUUUUGGCAGGAGGAAAGUAGUAGUUAUGUGGUUUUUGGAAGGAUUAUGAAGAGAGGAAAAAAUCGUGGUCAUGGAAAAGGAAAUCUUCGAAGAAGGUUUAGAGGAAGUAGCAACAGAGGGUCAGAGCAAGUUGAUGAUGGAUGUUGGAUUUUUGGACAGAGAGAUCAUUGGGAGAGAGAGAUUGUCCUGAAAGGAAGAAAUCAGAUUGACUAGAUGGUAGAAGUAAUGACAAGAUAAAAGAUGAAUCUGAACCAGAAAUUCAACCAAUUAGUGAUGAAUUUUUAGAUCUCACUGAAAGAGAAAUAGUUUUUGUUGAUGGGUCAGCAAAGACAGAUGAAACAGGCAGAAACAAAGUAGGUUUCCCUGUUGUAACUCAAGAUAAGGUUCUGAAGGUAGGACCCCUGCAUGGAAAUUCCUCAGCACAAUCAGCAGAGUUGACAGCUUUAACUGAAGCAUGCAAACUGUUUAAAGAUAAGCCAGUUACGAUCUAUACUGAUAGCCAAUAUGCGUUUGCUACUGUGCAUUUAUUUUGUCAACAGUGGAAGAACGAAGGGUUUUGAAACAUCAACAGGAAAGUCAAUAACGCAUGAAAACUUACUAAAAGAAUUAUUAACUGCUGUAAUGUUACCAUCUAAAGUGGCAUUAUGUAAAUGCGAGACACACGAAAAACAGAUCCUAUUUCUAAAGGGAAUGCCUUUGCAGAUGUAACAGCAAAGCAAGCUGCAACAAAAGAUGUAGAAAUAUGCACAAAUGAGGAUGUGAUUGCAGAUGCAACCGCUGAUGUUUUAAAAAAGAAAUGCCACCCAGUGCACCAAAACAAGAAAAAAAAAUUGGUUGAAAAAGGGAGCAAAGUUAGAACAAGGUCUUUAUGUCAGCACAGAAGGAAAACCUAUUUAACCAAAAUCCAUGUACAAAUGGGCAGCAAUUUUGAGUCAUGGGCUUUGCCAUGAUUCAACAGGGGGGGGGAUGACUUUAUUAGAGAAAUAUUAUACAAUUUAUGGAUUUAAUCUCUAUUCAAAAUUUUUUUGUAAACAAUGUGUUACAUGUAUGAGUCAUAAUCCCCAAGGCAAUGUUAGACCUAAGAGAGGAAAAUUUCCUGAACCAACUUUUCCUUUCCAUACAAUCCAUAUGGAUUUUAUUGAAUUAAAUAAAAGCAAAUAAUUGAAAUAUUGUUUAGUGAUUAUUGAUGCAUUUUCCAAAUGGGUUGAAAUUUUUCCAUGUGCAACACAGGAUGCUCUUACAGUAGCUAAAGCUAUUUGUAAAAGAAUAAUCCCAACUCUUGGCAUACCACAAGUGAUAAGAAGUGAUAAUGGUACACAUUUUGUAAAUCAUGUGAUAGACAAAAUGGCUCAACAUCUUUGUAUUUAUUUAAAGAGACAUUGUAGUUAUCACCCACAGAGUGCAGGAUUAGUUAAGAAAACUAAUAGCACUAUCAAAUCAAAGUUAAAGAAAUGCAUGGAAGAGACAAACAGACAGUAGCCUGACUGCAUAGACUUAGUCCAACUAAGCAUGCGUAUCACACGCACAGCAGGUCAACCUUUAACGUCUUUUGAAAUGUUGUAUGGACGUUCUUAUAGGUUACCAGACCUUGAUCCUACACAGCAACAUUCUCCAGAUGAUGAUGCCAAUUUAGUGGAUUAUUUGAGAAAAAUGUUUACCACUAAAAAUGUGCAAAGGACAAAUCAAGUGCCAGAUUCCUUUUUAUCUCCACAGGACACUUCACCAGUGCAGGUUGUUGACUGGGUGUUUGUGAAGGCCAUAAAAAGGAAGUGUUGGUCCAGCCCACGGUGGGAAGGCCCAUUCCAAGUCCUGCUGACUACACCAACAGCUGUAAAGAUUGCUGAAAGGACGUCUUGGAUCCAUCUAUCACACUGCAAGAAAAAGCAUCUGGGUGAGGCUAAUUCCAACUGCUAGGUGGGGAAGUCUGGCUACAAAGGGAGGCAGCUGUAUAGAAGCUGCUUGUCUCAACGUCAGCGAAGCAGGGGAAUCCACCUAGUCUUAGGGAAGAAAGCACAACAGAUCUCUUUUGCACUACACGGAUCCUAAACUGUUAGAGGACUUGAGGAGGUAAUGUGCUAGUAACCUCUCCCUCACGAAGAUAGGCACAUAUCCACCAUGGCGUGUCCAACUGGGCUAAGAGACAGUUUAUUUUGUUUACUGUUCCUGCUACUCUCAGCAGGAGCCACCACAUGGAUUUGGUUCUUUUGGAAUCGUUAUCCACCUGCAAGAAGAACCACCAACGAGGAAAGAAACAUUUCUCAAUGAUGGCUGAGUAUUGAUGAACAUGAUGUUUUGAAUAGUCCAAAAACGAACAUAACUCACCUGUAUGUGACAAAUUCUUGAUAUAGGUAUGUUAUGUUACUGGCUAGAGAAAGGAAUAGAUCUAAUUGCUAUGUUUGUUCUGUAAUUCCAACUUCAUCCUUACAUCCUAAUUUACAGGCAAAGCAAUUUUCUGAGUGGAAAAGCGACUGUGUUAUUGAAUAUAGUACCAGAGGGUAUAUUAGUACUGGAGCCGUUACCACCUCAAAUGGUACUCUUGUAAGACCGAGUUGUAAGAGUUUGUAUCAGUUUAAAAAACUGAAAUUAACAACAUCAUUAGCUCCAUAUGCUAGUGUGGAACCAGGAACUGUGUUUCCACAUUGCGUAACUAACAAUGGCACAGAGUUUUUAGGAACUUUGCCGACGAAGAUGUGUCAUGAACUUCUUGUUCCCUUCACAGUCCAGAUAAUCAAUGACAGAGUUUCCCAUGGUCAUGCAGUUCCCUGCCCCAGAGGACGUUGUGUUGGAUCUAAUCCAGAUUUAAUGCCAGGUAACAAUGGUACUUAUGUGGUUCAUCAAAUGUUUUGGUUAUGUGGGCAUGCCCUCUACCUCAGUCUGCCUAGAGACUGGAGUGGGAUUUUGUGCUUCUGUAAAGGUCACAGGUCACACUUUCAUAGUUUCUGCAGUCCGUGAGCCUCACCUGCGCCACAGACGUAACCUUAGUGAUGUCAAGCCACAUGAUUCCAUUUGGGGAUCAGAUGUACCUGAAGACCAUAAACACUGGAAUACUGGGGAAAAGAUGAAGGUCACAGCAUCACUGAAGCAUUACAUCAACUUGAAACGGUUCAGCAGGCAAUGCAGGAUGACAGGAAACCCCAAUCUUGGGAUUUCUUCUCCUGGUUUGCUUUUGGUUCCUGGUGGCAACUUUUGUAAAAAAAUAGUGACACCUGUCCUUAUGGUACUGAUCAUAUGUUGUGUGUUCACUAUGUGCAUUUUUCCUUGUAUCCAAUCUAUGAUUUCCAGAGCAGUGAAUGGUGGAGUACAAAGUGUUCUUCUGAGUCAAGAAUACAACUUGUUUUUAAAGGGAGAACAGGAUGACUGUAAUGAUUUUGAAAUUGAAAUGACUUGAAACUUGAAAAAAAAAAAAAAAAA